UAGCGGAACUCCUACGGGAGGCAGCAGUGGGGAAUUUUGGACAAUGGGCGAAAGCCUGAUCCAGCAAUGCCGCGUGAGUGAAGAAGGCCUUCGGGUUGUAAAGCUCUUUUGUCAGGGAAGAAACGGUGAGGGCUAAUAUCCCUUGCUAAUGACGGUACCUGAAGAAUAAGCACCGGCUAACUACGUGCCAGCAGCCGCGGUAAUACGUAGGGUGCAAGCGUUAAUCGGAAUUACUGGGCGUAAAGCGUGCGCAGGCGGUUGUGUAAGUCAGAUGUGAAAUCCCCGGGCUCAACCUGGGAAUUGCAUUUGAGACUGCACGGCUAGAGUGUGUCAGAGGGGGGUAGAAUUCCACGUGUAGCAGUGAAAUGCGUAGAUAUGUGGAGGAAUACCGAUGGCGAAGGCAGCCCCCUGGGAUAACACUGACGCUCAUGCACGAAAGCGUGGGGAGCAAACAGGAUUAGAAACCCUAGUAGUCCACUUAUG
rnacentral:rRNA from 1 species